ACUGAUAGCUCAGUGGAUAGAGCACCCGCCUUCUAAGCGGGCGGUCAUAGGUUCGAAUCCUAUUCAGUC
rnacentral:tRNA from 1 species